UGUGUAGGCGGUUUUCUAAGUCUGGUGUGAAAUUUCCCGGCUCAACUGGGAGGGUGCGCCGAAAACUGGAAGGCUAGAGUACUGGAUGGGUAAGUGGAAUUCCUGGUGUAGCGGUGAAAUGCGUAGAUAUCAGGAGGAACACCUGUGGUGUAGACGGCUUACUGGACAGUAACUGACGCUGAGACACGAAAGCGUGGGUAGCAAACAGGAUUAGAUACCCUGGUAGUCCACGCCCUAAACGAUGCAUAUUU
rnacentral:rRNA from 1 species